GGCCCCUUUCUAGUUGAAAUCAAAUGGAACCCUAAAAAUUAAACCCCCUAAUUUCUAGCUUUUCCAUUGAUGUCCUUUCACCAUAUGAGCGUGUUCUUCGUCUGCUCGUGAUCAAAACCCAUCUGUUGUCUCGUCAUAAGUCGUCGUCGUUUGUCGUGAAUCGACAUUUAAAAAGUACAUCAAAAACCCACCGGGCAUCAUUGAGUUUCUUCUAUUUUGUGCCGAUCCCGAGCUCAUUUGGUCUCACCACCCCCAGUACUGGACUCCCCAGUGUCGUCCGACCAAAACCCAACCGAUUUGGUUCAUAACCGUUGCACUGUGGGUAGUCGAGACUCUCCCGAUCGCUCUUCAGCUUGACCAAGCUCCUCUCGAUCCAUUCGAUCGCGUGAGCUCGUGAUUACCCUAUAAUUUUAUAAACCCUAUAAAUAUUCAGAUUUAAAUAUUAUUUCGAUAGUAACCCGAAUUUGUUGUGUUUUAGGUUCGAGCAUUAUUGUAGAGCGUAGCGAGGCCCAUGCUUAGUAGACCUCCUAGACUGAUUCAUUUUUAGUUUUGCAGGUUUAGCCCCGAUCAGGCUGGUAAUACCUUAUGGACCUAAGGCAACCCUUGGGUGGGCAGCUAGGUCUAAGGCACUCCAUUAGAGUGGUUUCUUUGCUUUGUGCAUUAGGUAAAUCCUUAUGGACUUGAUGGAACUUCCUCAGGUGGCUCCUAUGCUUCGGCUAGGGUAUAUUUAAGAGAAUGCAGGGUAUGUGAGUCCGAUAGAAUGUGCGUACUAAGCACCAACAGUGCUAUCAUCAAAAUCAGAAUAUGCACUCCAAGUGGAAUCAUAUCAUUUGUACUAACUGUGUGAUACAUAAUGUACACGAUUGUACCAGAUUAG